GACGAACGCUGGCGGCGUGCUUAACACAUGCAAGUCGAACGAAGUGGCGAACGGGUGAGUAACGCGUAAUCAACCUGCCCUUCAGAGGGGGACAACAGUUGGAAACGACUGCUACUACCGCCUACUGAAGUCGGGGCUUGCGUGGGAUUAGCUAGUUGGAGGGGUAACGGCCCACCAAGGCGAUGAUCAGUAGCAGGGCUGAGAGGAGGAACGGCCAAAAUGGGACUGAGACACGGCCCAGACUCCUACGGGAGGCAGCAGUGGGGAAUCUUCCGCAAGGGACGAAAGUCUGACGGAGCAAAGCCGCGUGAGUGAUGACGGCCUUCGGGUUGUAAAGCUCUGUUAAUCGGGACGCGGUACCGGAAUAGAAAGCCACGGCUAACUACGUGCCAGCAGCCGCGGUAAUAC
rnacentral:rRNA from 1 species